GCACUGCUGAGGAGUCCCAUACUUAGGACGAAACGGCAGUCCAGUGC
rnacentral:hammerhead_ribozyme from 1 species